CGAGUAGCGGUGGCUGAAGAACGAGCAGGAGCUUGAAUUUCAGUUUUCUUAUGAGGAAUUUUCCAGAAAAGAUAUCUUCACUGUGAAAUAACUAAAUAAAUGCCCACUCAGUACAGUCACUGUCUCCCUUUUGGAACUUGAUGGCACCUUAAGCCCAGGUUUGCCUCCACUCUAGAAACUCAUCAGAGUGAUGCCCUUCUCAAAUGGGGGAGGUCCCAAAGCGGAUAUCCUGGCAGUGUGAAAGGCCGGCUAAAGACAAAAAUACCUGCUACAUGCUUCCUUCUGUAUGAAUACAUGAGACCUACCUUCAUUCAUGUUUCCUCUAUGAAGCUUUCCCUGCACUCCAAACACAGAGCUGAGACUUCCACCUAAUGUAGAAAGCUAGCACGAGCCGGCGCUGACAGAUGGAAGACUUGAGAUGUUACAAGAUUAUAUAUGGAAACACAAAAGGAGUGGAGUUGCUGGGUCAUAUGGCAAUUCAUUUGAGGAACUGAGAAGCUUAUUCCAUGGAGGCUGAACUGUUUUAUAUUCCCACCAGCAACGUGUAAGGUUCCAGUUUAUCUACAUCAUCACCAACACUUGCUAUUUUCCAUUUCAUUAAUGAUAGCCAUCCUAGUGGAUUUGAAGUGGUACCUUAUUAUCGUGGUUUUGAUUGCAUUCUCUAUUGACUAAUGAUAUCGAGCAUCUUUUCAUGUAUUUUUUGGUCAUUUGGUCAUUUUUCUUUUUUAAUUUUAAAAUUUUGAGACAGGCUCUCACUAUGUUGCCCAGGUGGUCUCAAACUCCUGGGUUCCAGCGAUGCUCAUGCCUCAGUCUCCCAAAGGGGUGGGAUUACAGGUGUGAGCCACUUUGCCCAGCCCAUUUGUAUAUCUCCUUUGGAGAAUAUCUAGGUUCUUUUGAAGGUAGCUGCAUAUAAACUAGCCAAAUUAACAGACUGUGGUUUUUAGAUGGCUUUCCAUAUCUACAAGAACUAUUUAGUUCUCAAAACUGGGAAGAAAUGUUUCAGAGGCAUCAUUAAUUCAUAAUCUAAAAAUUUAUCUUGGGUUUCCUUUUUUCCCCCAGAUUCUGUAUCCUCCAUAGUCCUAUUCAUGACAUGGGUCGUUCAUCUCUGUAUUCUAAACCCUCAAUGAACUGUAGACAGUAAUAAAUAUUUAUUGGAUGAAUGGUCUCUCAUCAGCCACCUUUUCUUUUUUUUUUUUUGAGACAGAGUCUCACUCUGUCACUCAGGCUGGAGUGCAGUGGCGCGAUCUCGGUUCACUGCAACCUCUGCCUCCCGGGUUCAAGUGAUUCUCCCACCUGAGCCUCCCGAGUAGCUGGGAUUACAGGUGCACGCCACCUUGUCUGGCUAAUUUUUGUAUUUUUAGUAGAGACAGGGUUUCACCGUGUUGGUCAGGCUGGUCUCAAACGCCUGACCUCAGGUGAUCUGCCCGACUUGGCCUCCCAAAGUGCUGGGAUUACAGGUGUGAGCCACCGCACCUGGCCUCCAGCCUCUUUUCUUUUUUUUUUUUGAGACAAGUCUAACUCUGUCACCCAGGCUGGAGAGCAGCGGCAUGAUCAUGGCUCACUGCUGCCUCAACCUCAGAGGCUCAAGUCAUUGUCCCCACCUCAGCCUCCCUAGUAGACUGGACUACAGGCAUGUGCCACCACACCCAGCUAAUUUUUCAUCAGCCACCUUUUCUAACCAUCUGUCUGCACUGACUUCCCAGGUUCUGCAUCAUUAUUGGUUUACUGAGACAAUGCACUUCACCCGUCCUUCAAUCCCAAAGUAGCACAGAAUAUCAGGAGUUCUUUGAGCCCCUAAGUGCCCUACUUUCCCAGGGUCAGGGGACCCUGACAAGCAAGGUCCCCACAUCUUUCUGUGGUUGGAUAGGGAUAUAAAAUUUCUCACACAUGUUAAAUCAAGAUACUUUGGCCAGGCACGGUGGCUCACACCUGUAAUCCCAGCACUUUGGGAGGCUGAGGUGUACAGAUCACUUGAGGUCAGGAGUUUGAGACAAGCCUGGUCAACAUGGUGAAACUCCCAUCUCUACUAAAAAAAAAAAAACUUUGGGAGGCCGAGGUGGGUGGAUCAUGAGGUCAGGAGUUUGAGACCAGCCUGGCCAACAUGGUGAAACCCCGUCUCUACUAAAAAUGCAAAAAUUAGGUGGGUGUGGUGGCACACAGCAGUAGUCCCAGCUACUCAGGAGGCUGAGGCAGGAGAAUUGCUUGAACCUGGGAGGCAGAGGUUACAGUGAGCUGAGAUCAUGCCACCGCACUCCAACCAGGGCAACAGAUCAAGACUCCAUCUUGGGGAAAAAAAAAAAAAUUAGCCAGGCUUGGUGGUGGAUGCCUGUAUUCCCAGCUUCUUGGGAGACUGAAGCAGGAGGAUCGCUUGAACCCAGGAGGCAGAGGUUGCAGUGAGUUGAGAUUGUGCCACUGUACUCCAGCCUGGGCAACAGAAACAAUACUCCGUCUCAAAAAAAAAAAAAAAAAAAAAAAAUCAAGACACCAAACACACACAACUAAUUAGCUCUAUAAAUUGAAUUAAAAGAAAAUCCAUACUGACUUGCUUUCCCAUCUGUCCAUAUUUGUCUAUCCAAAUGAUUAAGGGCUAGAGAAAAUACAGAUGAUGAUGGCUGAGAUGGGAUAAAACUAUAAAUUGACUUGGUUCCAUUUACCUCCCAGAAUCAGCAUACAGUGACAAAGUAGAGAGAAAAGGUCUGGGCACCACAAACUUGUACUUGUGCUAGAAAUGUAGGUGCCUUUUCAUUUGCCCAGCAGGGCUAGUUUAACAGCCAGGGUAUCUUCUGGGACUCUUCCCCAAAUCUUGCUCUACCGCUGACUAGCUAUGUGAUCUUGGGCAAGUUUCUCAACCUUUCUGUGCCUUUCUUCCUUUACUUAUAAAUAAGGAUAACAGAAUUUGCUUCAUAGAGUUAGUCUGAGGAUUCAGUAAGUAGAUACGUGUAAUCUUAGAACAGUGUCUGGCACACAGUAAAACUCUAUCUUUGCUAUUGUUGUUUUUGUUAUAACUGUAUAGAUGUUAGCUAUUAUUACUAUCCACAAGAAUGGGACAUAUCAAUUAUAUAUAUUACUGGCCUAGUAAUUAUAUAUACUUAGAAUCCCUGAUCAAUAAAAUAAAUUGUAAUAGAAAUUUUUAUUCCUCAAACACAUUUUUGUUCCUCAAACACAUUUUUAAAUAAACAUGUCUUGGGAAAGCCAAAGAAAAAAAAAUCAUACCUAUAUCCAAAUAUGUUAUAUUAAAACCUUGUUCCUUGGCAAUUUCACUAAGCAGCUGGAUGUAAUCUGUAUUUGGAAUACUAAGGAGGCUUCUUUUCAGUAAGUUGAUCUUUUCACCAGGAGAAUUCCUCAAGGAAUGCCAAGUACAUCCUAAAGAAUGUCCUACUACAUUUGUCUGAAAAACAGAGAUGAAGAUUUAGACUCUUGACUAGGACUGGGUUCCAACACCCGUACCAGUAUCAUUAAAAGUACUUAUUAAGCACUCACAUUUAAUAUGUUAUAAAGCAUGUUUAAAUGGAUAACAUUUGGUUAAUUUUCCAAUUUAAACAAGACAACAUUAAAAAGUACACAUUUAACAAUACUAUAUGUUUUUAAGAAGCACUUGCAAUAAUAUACUGAAAGCAUUUUGUAUUUUGUAUAGUACAAAUGUUUCUCAGUCAAGUUUUCUGAUGGUCACAUUAAGAGGUACAAGAUAUCUGGAAGCACCAUAAGUAAAUCCACAAAUAAUUAAAUCUGCCUAAUGGAGCAAUUUGCAGAUUAAAAUAUAGAACAAUUUUCAUAUCUUUGGUUUUUUUUGUAUUAAAUACCAAUCACUAUAACUGACAGCUAUCAAACAGGAAAAAAAACAGAAAAAAAAACUAAAAAAAACAUGAAAUGUGCGCGUUGGGUUUGAGGAACAAGUCAUUCAAAUAAAUGACAGGAUGUCAAAAAGUUCUUAUCAGACUUCUAUCCCAGAACCCAACUGAGUAUUUUUUUCCUUUUUCUUUCUGCUUUUCCUCUUUCCUUUAUCCUCCCCUAUAUCCUUCCCUUUUCAUCUCUGUCCUUAGAAUGCCUUAUAUUUCCAUAUUAGUUUAUGGUUCUCAAAUUGCUUUCAUAUGCCAUUAAUAAAAACAACUACUUUCUGAAGUAAGUAGGGUUACUACUCUUAAUAUUGUUUUAUUAAUGAGCACGACAGAGGGGAGGCAAUUUCCAAAAGAUUUUAGAGAUGGCAUGAUAUGGAAUUAAGUAAUUUAUUAGAUUUACCAAAUAAAAAUUUACAUUAUAGAAACUUUAAAAUACUGUUUUUAAAUAAAGAACACUAUUUACAUGGUUAAAAAUAUACAUGCACUAAGAACAAAUAUAUAAUGAAGAGUACAGUCUCUUUUCCUUACCACCCAUUCCCUGAAGACCUCUGUUCUAUUUCUUAGACAUACUGUUAAACAUUUUUCAGUAUCUUCCCAUAAAUGUUCUAUGCAUAUGCAAGCACACACAAUCUUUUAAAGCAAAUGAUAACUUACUCCUCUACAUCUUGUUCAUUUUUCUUUUAUCAGUGCACAUAUAUGCACUGUAUUUACCUUACGGAUCUCCAACUGUGAGCUUUAGGUUGUUUCUAGUUUCUUGCUUUUACUAGCAAUAAACACUCUUUUGCACUUGAAUGAGUUUCUCUGUAGAAUUAUUUCUAGAAGUGGAACUGCUAAGUCAAAGAACAUGUACACUUUUAAUUUUGAUAAAUACUUCCAAACUGAUUUCUGAACCAAUUUAUACUCCUACCAACUGUCUUGGAGGGGGCUUGUUUUCUCAUACCCUCACUAAUACCAGCUAUUAUCAAAUUUUGUAGUUUUUGCCAAUCUAAAAGGUGAAAAUAUUUUAUCUUGCAUGAAUAAAGUUGAAUAUUUUUUCUUUUUUUCCCUUAAUCGUUUGCAUUUCUUCUACUGGGUUGUCUUUUUAACUGAUGCAUAAGAGCUUUUUAAAUUUUCUCUUUUUUAAGAGUUAGGAUCUUGCUGUGUGGCUUAACUCUCAAACUCUUGGGCUCUAGCAGUCCUCCCACCUUAGCCUCCCGAGUAGCUGGGACUACAGGCAUGUGCUGCUGUGUGCAGCAGAUGUGUACAAAAGAGCUUUAAAGGUAGUACUGAAAACAGUUCCUUUAUAGUUCUAUGUUGAAAAUAAUUUCUUCCCACUUUUUUAUUGUCUUAAUUUACAGAUUUUUUGCUGUGCAGUAGGUUUUAUGUUGUCAAAUGUAUUAAUCUUUUAACCUAGGUUUUAAGUUAAAAUGCUUUCCCCAUGCUAAGAUUUUUAAAAAGAAAAACUCUUCCAUGUUUCCUAAUAUUUAUACUGUUUCAAAUUUUUAUGUUCAAAUCUUUGAUCCAUCUGAAAUUCACUUUGGUGUAAGGAAUAAGGAAGCAUUCUAAAUAGAUGUCAUACACAUCAACAAAUAUAUAUAUAUAGCCCCCACCCAAAUGUGGAUGUAAACUGUUUCUACAUCAUUAUUGAAUAAUCCAUCCUCUCACCCACUGAUCUGAAAUCUCACUGUUGCUAUAUACUAUGGUCCUAUGUGGAUUAGCAUCUACGCCUGGAUUCUCUAUUCGCUCCUCUGACUAUUCCUGGCCCAGUAACUUGUCUGACAAGUUCAGUUUUACAGUAUGUUUUGUUCUCUAGUAAAGCAGCACACCCUUGCUCUCCCAACUCUUCCUUUUCAGUUUUCUUGGCUAUUCUUGAGGGUUUUUUUCCAGAUAAACUUCAAUAAACGUGUAUCAAGGUCCAAAAUGAACGCUGGUAGGUUUUUUUUUUUUUCGAGUUGGGGUCUCACUCUGUCGCCUAGGCUGGAGUGCAGUGGCGUGGAUCUCUGCUCACUGCAAGCUCCGCCUCCCGGGUUCAUGCCAUUCUCCUGACUCAGCCUCCGGAGUAGCGGGGACUACAGGCGCACGCCACCAGGCCCGGCUAAUUUUUUUUUUUGUAUUUUUAGUAGAGACGGGGUUUCACCGCGUUAGCCAGAAUGGUUUCUAUCUCCUGACCUCAUGAUCCGCCCACCUCGGCCUCCCAAAGUGCUGGGAUUACAGGCGUGAGCCACUGUGCCUGGCCAAACGCUGAUUAAAAAACUGAGGUCCAGAGAAAUUAAGUAAUUUGCUUAACUUCGCGAAUCAAGGACUGCAUCAAGGACGGAAGCUGAGGUUCCUGCUUUUGGCCUGGUGCUUUCUGUACUGGCCAC
rnacentral:lncRNA from 1 species